rnacentral:rRNA from 1 species
CAAUAGCGUAUAUUAAAGUUGUUGCAGUUAAAAAGCUCGUAGUUGGAUUUCUGCAUUCGAUAGAUCAGCCAGUGCCUCACGGUACUUGAGCUAGUGUCUAAUCGUUGCAUCCUCGUGGAGAGCUUGCCUGGCAUUAGGUUGUCGGGUAAGGGAUCCAUGUCGUUUACUGUGAAAAAAUUAGAGUGUUCAAAGCAGGCUUAGGCCGUUGAAUAUUAAAGCAUGGAAUAAUAAGAUAGGACCUCGGCGGUCUAUUUUGUUGGUUUGCACGCCAAGGUAAUGAUUAACAGGGAUAGUUGGGGGUAUUCGUAUUCAAUUGUCAGAGGUGAAAUUCUUGGAUUUAUGGAAGACGAACUACUGCGAAAGCAUUUACCAAGGAUGUUUUCAUUAA